rnacentral:rRNA from 1 species
UGAAUACGAGACGCUAAGGCGUUGAAGUAGUGUAUGUCAUACUUCCAAGAAAAGCUUGCACUGUCAUAGAUAAAAAACGCCUGUACCAUAACCGACACAGGUGGGUAGGUAGAGUAUACUAAGGGGCGCGAGAUAACUCUCUCUAAGGAACUCGGCAAAAUAACUCCGUAACUUCGGGAGAAGGAGUGCCUUAUUUAUAAGGCUGCAAUAACAAGAUCCAAGCAACUGUUUAUCAAAAACACAGGUCUCCGCUAAGUCGUAAGACGAUGUAUGGGGGCUGACGCCUGCCCAGUGCCAGAAGGUUAAAGAAGUUGGUUAGCAAUAGCGAAGCUGAUAACUGAAGCCCUGGUGAACGGCGGCCGUAACGAUAACGGUCCUAAGGUAGCGAAAUUCCUUGUCGGGUAAGUUCCGACCCGCACGAAAGGCGUAAUGAUUUGGAUACUGUCUCGGAGAGGGGCUCGGUGAAAUAGACUUGUCUGUGAAGAUGCGGACUACCUGCACCAGGACAGAAAGACCCUAUGAAGCUUUACUGUAACUUGAAAUUGAAAUUGGACUUUAUUCGCGCAGUAUAGGUGGGAGGCGUUGAUUGUAAUCUUGCGGGAUUAUUGGAGCCAUCAGUGAGAUACCACCCUUGUAAUGUUAGAUUUCUAACUUUGAAUCAUUAUCUGGUCAAAGAACAGUUUCAGGCGGGCAGUUUGACUGGGGCGGUCGCCUCCUAAACGGUAACGGAGGCGUACAAAGGUUUCCUCUGAACGGUUAGAAAUCGUAUCUAGAGUGUAAAGGCAUAAGGAAGCUUGACUGUGAGACCUACAAGUCGAGCAGGGACGAAAGUCGGUCUUAGUGAUCUGACGGUACUGAGUGGAAAGGCCGUCACUCAACGGAUAAAAGUUACUCUAAGGAUAACAGGCUGAUCUCCCCCAAGAGUUCACAUCGACGGGGAGGUUUGGCACCUCGAUGUCGGCUCAUCGCAUCCUGGGGCGGUAGUACGUCCCAAGGGUUGGGCUGUUCGCCCAUGAAAGCGGUACGCGAGCUGGGUUCAGAACGUCGUGAGACAGUUCGGUCCAUAUCCGGUGUAGGCGUUAGAAUAUUGAGAGGAGCCUUCUUUAGUACGAGAGGACCGAGAAGGACAUACCUCUGGUGUACCAGUUAUCGUGCCAACGGUAAACGCUGGGUAGCUAUGUAUGGAGUGGAUAACCGCUGAAAGCAUCUAAGUGGGAAGCCUACCUCAAGAUAAGUA